GCGGGGCUGCUCGGUGCGUCAGGCACAUCACCCCCGGGGCCAGUAAGCAUCCUCCCGGGAGCUGGCGCUGCCGCGGUCUUGGCUGCGGUAUCCGGCGCCCACCUGCAAACGCAGGCCUUGGGAGGGUGAGACGCCAACGGCCGGGGCGGCUCCGCA
rnacentral:other from 1 species